rnacentral:sRNA from 1 species
CCCUAGCCCAGAUUGCAGCGACAUCCUCUUGUGGUAGCGAUAGUUAACACAAGAGAUAUAGCGGAAAGCUAGAUAAAGC